GUCUAUGGCCAUACCACCCUGAACAAGCCCGAUCCUGUCUGAUCUCGGAAGCUAAGCAGGGUCGGGCCUGGUUAGUGCUUGAAUGGGAGACCACCUAGGAAGACCAGGUGCUGUAGGUG
rnacentral:rRNA from 1 species